rnacentral:lncRNA from 1 species
GUGAUUCUAUGAAACAGAUAAUGACUAGCACCAGCCUUGAGGUCUGCUCUGCAUGUGGUGUUACAGUGCUAAACUGAGCUAAGUGUGGAUUGUGUCAAUUCCAACUUUCAUUGUUUAAAAAAUACCAUGUUAGCCACUGUCAUCUUUUCCUACUGAAGUUUUAUUUCUGCCCCUUCCUCUUUACUGGUGUAGUUUCAGAGAUUAAUUUCGUUUCCAUUGACAGUAUGCUCCUUCAUUCACUAUUUCUUUUCCAGUAUCUUCUUUGAGAAUCGAUAUGUCUCUGUUUCUUUCUGUUCCAAAUGACUUUCAGUGGAUUAAGUUUUUGGAACUGAUCUUGGGAUGACGCACGUGACACAUCAAAUGAAUUCAUUUCUCAGAAUGCCCCAGGGGUGCUUCUGCCCACUUUGUAGAGGGAGGCUCUUGGAGCUCUGUCCAGUCACGUGCCUCCUCCAAAGCAAUGGCAGGGCCUUGGCUGCCCAGGGCAGCUGAGGAGCGCUGUGGUGGGGUGGGGCCAAAGGGUGGGACAGGAGCGCCUGAUAGCACAGAGGACGAAUCACAGUAUUGGAGCCAUCAGCAGGCAGUGCUGCUCCAUUUGGCCCAGACCAUGAAUUUGGAGUUUGUCCUCGCCUUGUUGAUGCAGCCUGUGCAUGUCAGUGAUGAGUUGGAUGUGGCCAUACUCGAACGCAUGAAGCAGCAUGAGCUGUUUCUGCAAGAGAAGAUGGCACAGCUGCUGCAGGAGACAGAGCAGCAGAAGCUGGAGCAGAGCAAGAUGGACAUGUGGGCCCUUCUCUUCACUGCACUGCAGUCCUGGCAGUGUUGGGCCUUGGCAGGAAUGCUUGUCCUGCUCUUUGUAUUCUUCUGGAUGCUCAGGAAAAGGAGACGUCAAAGGUACAUCAGACAUCCUCUGGGCAUCUGCAGAAGAAAGGAGGAGGAGGAGGAAGAGGAGGAUGAAGACCCCAAUGACAUUUCAUUUAAGAGCCGGACUUUCAUGGAGUUUUUGAUUUGGCCAGUGAAGAGUAGGCAAGCCAUGUGCAAGAUGGUGCAGGAACUGGUGGAUGAACUUCUCUGUGUCUGUCAGAUAGUUCCCAAGAGUUAUUUCAUGCCGUGGCUACACCUGUCUGUAGGAGUGGUUUUGAAGACAACAUUCUCGGUGAGGAGAAUGUAUCUCUGUAUCUCUUUGGGCCUGUCUUCUUCAAUAUCUUUAUUAACGACCUGGAUGAAGGCAUUGAAAGCACCCUCAGUAAGUUUGCAGACGACACCAAGCUGGCAGGAAGUGUCGAUCUGCCUGGGGGUAGACAGGCCCUACAGAGAGAUCUGGACAGGCUGAAUCUCUGGGCUGAAGCCAACGGGAUGAGGUUCAAUAAGACCAAGUGCCGGGUCCUGCACUUUGGCCACAGCAACCCCAGGCAAUGCUACAGGCUUGGGGCAGAGUGGCUGGAAAGUUGUGUGGAGGAAACGGACCUGGGGGUAUUAGUCGAUGCUCAGCUGAGCAUGAGCCAGCAGUGUGCUCAGGUGGCCAAGAAGGCCAAUGGCAUCCUGGCUUGUAUCAGAAAUAGUGUUGCCAGUAGGAGUAGGGAACUCAUUAUCCCUCUGUACUCAGCCCUGGUGAGGCCCCACCUUGAGUACUGCGUCAAAAAAGACAUUGAGGCCCUGGAGCGUGUUCAGAGGAGGGCGACGAAGCUGGUGAGGGGUCUGGAGCACAGGCCUUAUGAGGAGCGGCUGAGGGAGCUGGGAUUGUUCAGUCUGGAGAAGAGGAGGCUCAGGGGAGACCUUAUCUCUCUCUAUAACUACCUGAAGGGAGGUUGUAGUGAGCUGGGGGUCAGCCUCUUCUCUCUUGUAACUAGUGACAGGACAAGGGGGAAUGGCCUCAAGUUGUGCCAGGGGAGAUGUAGGCGGGACGUUAGGAAAUUCUACUUUUCUGAAAGAGUGGUCAGGUGCUGGAAUGGGCUGCCCAGGGAGGUGGUUGAGUCACUGUCCCUGGAGAUGUUCAAGACACAUUUAGAUAUAGCGUUGAGAGACAUGGUUUAGUGGGGUUAUUGGUGGUAGGUGGAUGGUUGGACUGGAUGAUCUUGUAGGUCUUUUCCAACCUAGCUAAUUCUAUGAUUCUAUGAUUCUAUGAAUACUCCACAUUCCCCUGUUUUUUGUAUGUAGGAGACCAUAUCUGCUCUGAGCAGGGUUUUGGAAGAGAUAAUCUCCAGCUCCUUUCUAACCUGUUACUCUGUGAUUCUUUUUGAAGCUUUUGUAGACUCAGAAAGGUUUCUGGCAUGUAGACCAGCAUUCUGACUAAGCAGAGUCCAAACCAUAAAUAAUAAGAGUUUGUUUGAAGC